rnacentral:lncRNA from 15 species
AUGUUGAAUUUGCUGGGAGUUGUUGCUGGCCUUCUGUUCAUCAUAAUCUGCUUUUCAAAAGGACUCAAAGAUGGAAAUAAAUCUCAAAAAUCACAACCACUGGAAUCAUCUGCCAACAACAAGAAGCAGAAGAUUCUGGAUGAGGGAGAUUUCCACUUGUUGGCCAAGAUCCUUUCAGUUGGAUUGGUGGAUGCGGAUCCAAACUAUCUCCAGCAUCUUAAAGCCUACAGAGACCUGCACGGUGGAUGA